AGUCGUAACAAGGUUUCCGUAGGUGAACCUGCGGAAGGAUCAAUCUUUAUUUUAAACGUAGUAAAAAGUAUUGGAUUUGUUUUUUUUUAAAUUCAAAUAAAUACUUUUUAUGGAAUUAUUUCUAUUGGUAUAUUUAUAAAUAUGUAUAAUUUUGUAUGGAAAAUAUGAUACACUGUCAACAGUGGAUGUCUUGGCUCGC
rnacentral:misc_RNA from 1 species